rnacentral:lncRNA from 1 species
AAAAAUCGAGAAGAAGAAAAAAAAAGAGAAAUAUGGAAAAUCUCAGAGAAUUUCGGCAAGAGGAAAGGGAGAAGAAUAGACGACAAAAUUUUUUUAGAAAAAAGAGUCAAAAUUCAGUUAUGGGAAAAAAAUCUCGAUAACCCCUAAAAUCCCUUAAUCUUCUCCCCUAAUUCCCACUACACAUUCACUACUCAGAAUCCCCCUAUUACACAACUUUAUCCCGAAAUUUGAACAAAAAAAAAAUAAUACCCUUGCCUGCAUAGAGAUUCAAACAUAAGACCUCCACCAUAAUAACACACCAUUUAAUCACCGGACCAGCAAGCCUAUUCUGAUGUAAUUUACC